rfam:Oryza rufipogon genomic scaffold, chr08
AAUCAAUAUAGUUUUGCACUAUUCACGUUCAACGUUUAAUCGUUUGUCUUAUUUGAAAUUUUUUUAUAAUUAAUAUUUUUAUUGCUAUUAUUAGAUGAUAAAAUAUGAAUAGUAUUUUAUGUGUGGCUAAAUGUUUUUAAUUUUUUCACAAAGUUUUCAAAUAAGACGGACGGUCAAACGUUAGGCACAGAUAUCUACGGCUGCACUUAUU